GUAGGGAAUAUUGGGCAAUGGAUGCAAGUCUGACCCAGCCAUCCCGCGUGCCGGAAGAAGGCCCUCAGGGUUGUAAACGGCUUUUGACGGUGAAGAAUCGACAGGAUGCGUCCUGUUUUGACGGUAGCCGUUGAAUAAGCACCGGCUAACUCCGUGCCAGCAGCCGCGGUAAUACGGAGGGUGCGAGCGUUGUCCGGAUUUAUUGGGUUUAAAGGGUGCGUAGGCUGGAAGGUCAGUCAGCGGUGAAAAGCUGUCGCUUAACGAUAGUCUUGCCGCAGAUACUUCCUUUCUUGGAUGAGGAGGAGGCCACUGGAACGGAUGGUGUAGCGGUGAAAUGCACAGAUAUCAUCCAGAACACCGAUUGCGAAGGCAGGUGGCUGUACCUUAAUCGACGCUGAUGCACGAAAGCAUGGGGAGCAAACAGGAUUAGAAACCCUUGUAUUCC
rnacentral:rRNA from 1 species